GUGAUAUACUCUGUGAAGGACCAGGAGCCAUCAGGAUCCACUGCCUUCUUCUGAGACUGGGGUGAUCUUCAGCUACAUUUGUGUAAUUGAGGGUUUUACAGAUUUUAUAUAUAUAAAAAAAAAAUCCUGCCGAUGUUGAUGUAACAAUGAAGAGAAUCCGUUGUUUUAUGGUUUAAAAACAAACAAACAAAAAAAACCGUUUUAUUUUGAAAGCCGUGUUAUAACCGGAUUUCCUCACUUGACGCCGGCGCCUUGUCGCCUAGCAACAGCUGCUCGUGACAGUUUAGCUGUGACUGCUCCCUCUGACUGUGGAGUCGCAGGUGUGUCGGCACAGACACACUGCCGGCCGGUAAAACAAUACAGAAACACAGCGCUGUGUCUUGAGUAAUGACCUUGACUUUAUUAGACAUAUUCGUUUUCACUGACGAGUAGUUAAAGUGACGUGACACACCGCAAAGGGGACACCGGCCAGUGAACACCGGAGCGACCCGUUCAGAACAAUAUCUACCCUGUUUAGAUGCUAACAUCAAGCGGAAGGAACAAGAUGAUUGGAUGAUGAACCCGAGCCUCAACCAGCCCGCCCCUCACACAGUGCAAGCGGAGGGAACCUGCACUCAGCGGGACCUGCCACCCAAAACCACUGAAGUCUUCAAAAGUCAGAGAGAACAAACUGUGCUCCCCCACCACGCUGUUAUUGGAGCCAGACCCUUCUGCUCCCCUGAGUACAGCCCCGACUUCCACAAGUUAGGCUCAACAGUACCUUACAGCUCAUACAGACCUACAAAUAUCAGAGCAGACACCUUCACUCCUCUGCAGUCGUCUGCCAAGACACAUGUGCCAUACUCAGAGAAGAAGAGGCUCCUGGACAAACAAGAGGAGAUCCAGGAGGUGAAGCAGCUGGAGGAGUGGAAGCCCGCUGUAGGCAUCGUCACAGCACUGCUGGAGGAGUUAGAGAACAGAGCCAGCUAACAAGUUACACAAACACAAUAGUGUUGAUUGUACAUACACUCUUUAUCUUCAUCUGAACCGUGUAAGAAAUACACACACUGCUGAUGGAUAUAAAAGUAAUUUCCACAUUCCAGAAUAUUUUUUCUUACCAUGCCUUUUUCUUUAUUAGAUUGUGUAACUAAGGUGGAGGCUGCUGUUCAAUCUUUUGCUGUUCUUGUUUUUGUUUCAACUUCAUCCUUUCUAUAAUGAAAGUGUUCCAGGUACGUUUAUGUAGGUGAGAAGGAAAGCAGCAUCCUCCUGGAUAAGUAAUAAAACAUGCCCAGCUGCCUUUGUCAGCGACUAAGAUGACUCAUCAUCAGGCCUUCAUAUGCUCCAUGUUCUCCUCAGUGUAACCAAGAAGCACUCUGAUCUAAUGUGUGUGUAACAUGGACUUACCUUUAAGAAAGUAUUUCAGGAGAAUCUUUGGAGGCCUUUUUCCUUUCCUUUCUUCAGUCUAAUCAUCCUGGCACUGUCUCUGAUGACACAUGGGCAAAUCUAAUUGAUUUAACUUAUUGAGAAGUAUAUAUAUGUCAGUUAAUAUCCUUUUUUCAAACAUUCCUCUUCAUAUAAUUUUUGAAGUAUGUAGAGUAUGUAUUUCAUUGUCAGUUUCAUUUAUUGUAAUAGUGCGAUUGUGGCUUAUCGAGUCUUCAAUAUAGAUAUGAAAAGUGACAUUAAGAAAUAAAAUACGACAUUAUGCAAAAUAACGUUAGGGAAAUAAAAAUCUCUACAAUUAAUAACAAAUGUAAAUAAGGAGGAUGAAAAAACAUUGCCCUAAGAUAAGGCUGAACUUUGAUGAUUCCUUAAAUCAUAUAUCAAUUUAUUGGUAAAUGUACAUAUAUUCUAUACAUUCAUGUAUCUACAGGCACUAGACUCACACACACUACAAUUGGAAAGUUUAAGGAGAACGGCAUUGAUCUGAAAGAGCUCAUCAUUAAUUUGAACAAGUCACUUGGAGCCAUUUCAAAGCAGUCACAGGUCCCAAGAUUAGCUGUACAAACAACUGUUGUGUCACUGCCACAAUCCACCUGCUGCUGAGAGAAACUGGUCAGGAUGGUCAAGAGUCAACCAAAAUACAAGUCUGCAAUAGAUGAGGUCCACAGUCAGGUGUGUUUUACAUCGACAUGAGCUGAGAGGCUGCCGUGCAAGAACCUAAUUGAGGUGAAUAUGGCCGAGAGACAUUUAACCAAAUAACAAAAUGACUUUGUAAAUUUUUAAACCAGCAGAUUUGGUCAGAGUUUUAGAAGACCCAGAAAAAAAUCAUUACUGAACCAGACUUGAAUGUUUUUAUGACAAAGUAGUUUGUGUUCCAGUCAUCAAUCACAGAAACAUGAGAGCUGUAGAAAUCACUUGAUGAUACUCAUGUUCUUUACAUGUGUAUGGAAACCUUUGACCACGACUGUAUCAUCGGCUACAUAAUGUUACUCUUAAAAGACUGCUUGUGUACUUGGACAAAAUAUCUAAUUCUACCCCGGCUGUAAUCAUUUUUCAAUAUCAUUACAUUUAACUCAUUACUUUGAAAGUCAAUAAGGUCAGCUCAAUACAAUUCAGGUCCCUCUUUAAUAAUAAUGACUAUGUGAUCCCAGUGAUAAUUACUGUACAGUACUGCCACCCUAAGUGCUGUGCUGGUUGUUUCUGUGAUCUGGACCGAUCAAUGUUGUGAUAAUGAUUUAAUCAAUAAGGCCCGAGGUCCUCAAGCCAACCAAAUAAAACAGAAUUACUGUUCCUAUCUUGAAUUCUGUGCUGCUGCGCGUGCUCUUACCUCCCUGGAGUCAGCAGUUCAGCUGUAUCAGCUGCUGCUAUGCUAAAAUGUUCCCUGGCUUUUUAAAUGCUAUACGAGCUGACAGAUAAAAGGUGUAAAACUUGAACGCUUCACAGUUUGUAUCAGUGAAUGCUGAGCUCCUGCAACGUAUCCAGUCUUUUCUUUGCUUCAAAAGUGCAGGAGUUUUUAAUAUCAGUUACAGUUAAAUACAGUCUGUUCCUCCCGUACAUGACAUUUACAGGAAAGGAAACUAGGGCAAACUUUGUUUUUUGACAUUUGAUAGAAAGUCCAGCAAGAUAAAGAAUCAUUCUAAAACACUGCGGUAAAAAGCUGAAAGUCCAAAAGUCAAACUUCCCACUAUAAAAGCUGCUUUGUGGUGCGUGAAGCCAAACAUGUCUGACUUUCCGAGUGGAGAAUCACCCAGAGAAUCUUCGGUAAUGUCCUCACACAGCACAUGCACCGGAGUCUUCCACCAGCCAGCAGUUCAGCAGGCACUGUGUUCCAGCCAUAUGGCUUUGUCUGUGUCAGCUGCAAAACUAAUGAACACAACAACACUUUUCCCAUGCCAUUCUGAAGUACAUGGUGAUAUGCCUCUCUCUCAGUCUCUCCUGCUGUGACUGCAGCCUCUGGGCUGGAGCUGGUGUCUUCAGAUGUGCCCAACCUUCACCAGGUGGUUCAAUACUUCACUGCAUCUGCGGCUCUUCUCCUCCCUUCGAUUCUACAGUCAACAGGAGGCUCGUUCUGCUGCCUCCCUAAGCCUGCCUGCUGCUGACUCAGUCUCCUUUCAGAGUGCAUUCAAGUCAUGUUCUGAUGGAUUUGUUUUUGAUCUGGUUUAACCAAUUAUCUUUAGCACAGCAAAGGGGUAGUUGCACCUACUAAUGGUGUGAGGCCGACCAACGAGUGCGAGCCAUUCGGGGGCAGAGUUGGGAAGGUCUUGCCAAGAAACAUGAUCUCGGUGUGGUAGCCCUGCAACUCGGCUCAAAUGGAAGCAAGUUUAUUAAAGAUUCAGCCCAACUUGGCCCAUUGUCCCUUUCUUUCCGCAGAGCUUGUACAGUGGACCGUAAAGUAACAGAUGGAGAUAAGGUAUAUCAGUUGUACUUCAUAAAAGACCAGGAGAUGUUAAGUUUUGCCAAUUUAAUAGAAUUGGCUUAUUAUAAUUUAUACAGAAAAAGCAAUGAGUAUAUAAAAUAAGAAGUGUAUCAGCCAUAAGUAAUACAGAACUGUAUCAGAUGCAUUUUAUUGGCCUGAAUGUAUGAAACAGCACCAUCCCACAUUAAAACUAGAUCGCUCCUGAGUUCUAUCUGGGUCCAUGUAUCUAGUACCACUAUUUGACGAGUACUGUAAAACAGAAGAAGGGUUUGUGAUUUUAUUGUUCAAAUUCUAAAACUGUGCAUUAAACUUGUGCAACGAUAGGCUGCUUGGUCUGAAACAU
ensembl:lncRNA